UACAGAGGUGGCUAGCGUUGUUCGGAUUUAUUGGGCGUAAAGGGUUCGUAGGCGGUCCGGAAAGUUGGGUGUGAAAUCCUACGGCUUAACCGUAGAACUGCAUUCAAAACUCCCGGACUAGAGUGUGAGAGGGGUGAAGGGAAUUCCCGGUGUAAGGGUGAAAUCUGCAGAGAUCGGGAGGAACACCAGUCGCGAAGGCGCUUCACUGGCUCACUACUGACGCUCAGGGACGAAAGCUAGGGUAGCAAACGGG
rnacentral:misc_RNA from 1 species